rnacentral:rRNA from 1 species
UACGUAGGGUCCGAGCGUUGUCCGGAUUUAUUGGGCGUAAAGAGCGUGUAGGCGGCCUGACAAGUCUGCUGUGAAAACUCGAGGCUCAACCUCGAGAUGUCGGCGGAAACUGUCUGGCUAGAGUCCGGAAGUGGAGAGUGGAAUUCCUGGUGUAGCGGUGAAAUGCGCAGAUAUCAGGAAGAACACCUAUGGCGAAGGCAGCUCUCUGGGACGGUACUGACGCUGAGACGCGAAAGCGUGGGGAGCGAACAGG